UGAUCUGGAGCGAAUCCCAAAAAGCCGGUCUCAGUUCGGAUUGCAGGCUGCAACUCGCCUGCAUGAAGGCGGAAUCGCUAGUAAUCGCGGAUCAGCAUGCCGCGGUGAAUGCGUUCCCGGGCCUUGUACACACCGCCCGUCACACCACGAGAGUCUGCAACACCCGAAGCCGGUGGCCCAACCCGAAGAGGGAGGGAGCCGUCGAAGGUGGGGCAGAUGAUUGGGGUGAAGUCGUAACAAGGUAGCCGUACGGGAACGUGCGGCUGGAUCACCUCCUUUCUA
rnacentral:rRNA from 1 species